AUGCCAGCAAGUAACUCCCUUCGUAUAACCCCAAUAAUAUGGUUUGGGGGUCUCUACCAGGAACCGUUAAUUCCUGCUUACGAAGAGUUCAGCGAUUCUA
rnacentral:ncRNA from 1 species